GGAUUGAUGACACAGUGAGGAGAGGCAUAGAGAGGCGAAGGAGGGGAGAGUCCCAGAGUUCAUUCUCACAGGGGAGGGGAGCGAGCUUCAUGUUGGACGGCAUUGGCUUCAAAGGCAUUUUGAAAUUGAAAAAGCGAAUUGAGAGCUGGGGUGGGAUGAGAUGGAAAGAGGCGACAGGAAAAGAAGGGGAGAAGCCCACGGGAGACCGACAGACGAAUGAAAAGAGGGAGACAAAGCAGAGGGGAGAAAGUGCAGAUGGUGCAGUCUUCGCCCGCAGAUAUUAAGAAACCCAGGAGACCACGCGCGUGAGAGUGUACUCGGUUCUCUGCUCCCUUUACAGCCAUUCUGUGGCGCGCUCGUACCCACCAGAGAGCUAUGCAUGCAGACUGCAACUAUCACUCAGAGUGCUUGGGGAGGGGGGAUCGGGUGGGGGUGAAUCCCGUGAUCUCCAAUGUUUUAACAUAUGUUGGUGAACCAGUGUUUGAUCACAAAGAGAAGUCCCAUGUUCCAUCGCAGACAAGCUCUCCAAUGGCUCCCGAGUCUCUGCCGGUAACAUGCAAUUAUGUGGCUAUGAUGUCAUCGAUUUUCUGCACUGGUCGGGAGCUGCACGAUGCCGAGCGAUUAGAAAGUGCUGGAAAGUGCCUCGCCGUGUGGAAUACUAAUAUGCUCAUUUGUGAGCAGUGGGUAAAAGGGAAAUGUUUUUUCCAUGCAGCCCGCUAAUGUUUACCUCAACAGAGUUGGGAGCGGAGGAAAGACUGACUGAAUGAAUGACUGAGUGGCCGAGUGAGUGGCAGGCUGACUCAGCCCUGACAGACAAGUUGGAUCCCGGCUGUCAGACAGGCUGAUGGGCCGGUCCCGGGGCCCUAAGUGGACAGAGCAGAAGAGGAGGAAGAGAAAUGAACGAUAAGCCUGAUUCGGUCUCAUUCCAAAUAAGAUGUCCACCAUUUGGAAAAUGAGUGACGGGGACAAAAUGAUUGGUUGUGGAAACAGGAAAUGAAAUGAUUUCAUUUUAGCAGAAAAAAUUAAAGUUCCAGAGUACAACACGGUGCUUGAGUAUAUGACCGAUAAUCACUGUUUGACAACUCAUAUUUCAUAAGGGAAUAAAACAUAAGACAAAAAAAAGGAAUAUAAAAAAAAGUUUGGCGCCAAAGAACACAUUUAACAUCCAGAAGAAAAGGGACCUCCAUCAGUAUGAUCGAGGACACCUGCAGGAAGCCAAGAUGCUGCUGACUGUCAAAGCACAAUCAAGGGCAGAGAAUAGCG
ensembl:lncRNA